rnacentral:lncRNA from 1 species
GGGUUCAAAUUGAAAUAAUAUAAAGAUUAUAAGUGUAAAUAUUAAAAGUUUAGGGGUGCAGCUGCACCUCCUCACAUACUAGAGUAGCACUGCGCAGUUGACAUAAAACAUUACUUUUACAAGCACUUUUCACUCAUAUAUGGCACUCCAUUAUACAUUCCAAUAAAUUUGACCCAAAAGAAAUGAAUUACAUGAUAUCUAUAGAUUAAAUACAACAAUUGGAAUAGCUUUCUGAAUUGUGAUAGACUUAACCGUUUGCUAGGACAAUUCCUUAAAAGACUGUGUUUUUAUGUAUAUAUGGCAAAUUGUUUUCAGGGGCUUGUAUGCUUAAAAUUGAGAGAAUUUCUUUUUGCGUUCCCUUUGUCAAAGUUCAUUCUUCCCUCCAACAGCAACAAAAACAGCGCAACAAGGAAAAAUUUCCUAGAAAUUGAUUUUUACCCUAUUUUUAGGAUUAGUCUCCGACAACGGCGCCAAAAACUUAAUACACCGCAAGUGCACCAGUAUAUCAUCGUAAUAAAAAGAGUAUCGAAUCCACAGUCACUAGUGAGUAAUAGAGUAUAAUUUGUUUUUCAAGGAAAUUUCUAUGCAAAAUAUAUGUAAGAUGAUUAUAAUGGUUGAGAUGGUGAUGAUGAUUAUAAUGGUUUUUAGGAUUAUGAUCAAAGCAAAUAAAUAGAUGAAUAAUGAUUUGUUUUUAUAUUUUUAAGGACCCUAAGAUCAUGGACUUCAUCAAUAAUGUGAAUUUCUUAAUUCUUCUCUAAACGACUAAACAUUCCUUUGCUAUGUGAGAACCUCCUUGAAGACAAGAUAUAAUUUGUGGAAAACCCCCUUCCAAGCUACUCUUUGUCACAUCGGUUGUUAAUCGCCCCAAGAUAUAUGUGAGGCUUGGCACGACUGUGACGGGCUUCAUACUCUUGAUCUUUGAUUAUUAUUUUUUCAUUCUUAAUGCAAAGUGUAACGGCUUCUUUUGCCUUAAUACAUGAAUUUAUGCUCCUUGUGCUCUCUUUUGGGUAUCCCUUCAUAAAGGAAGUGUCCCUUGAUGCUCAUGUGAUGUCAUGCGUUGAUUAAUCAUCAAAAUGGGCCUAGAAAAUGCUCACUUCCAUCUAUCCAUGCUUUUGGGCCUACAAAAUAUAAAUUAAGAGAAUUGUAGUAAGAUAUUUCAAAUAACUUAAGCAUUAAGCAGAGUUUAUUAGAUAAAAUAGCUACUAAAACUAUGCAUAUCUUAGAGAUAUCAACACCCCCUUUUGGGUGCCACCAAUUUCAGUUAAUCAUAUUGUUCUCAAUUUGGCCACAAAAAGUCCCUAGACGAUUACCAUAACAUUUCCAAUUAUGCACAUUAUAGAGAACACCAGUAAGAACGUUAUGAUUAAUUGACAACGUUGUAUGCGACUAUUUACAUACGAAAUGACAAAAACUAAACUAACUAUAAAAAAAAAAGAAGAAGAUGGAGAGUGGAGAGGUGAGUGAGGAAGAGGGUGUUUUAUAGAAUUUUUGCUGCCUUCCUAUUGGUCAAAGCCAUGUCAUGCCCAC